rnacentral:rRNA from 1 species
UACGAAGGGGGCUAGCGUUGCUCGGAAUUACUGGGCGUAAAGCGCACGUAGGCAGUCUUUUAAGUCGGGGGUGAAAUCCUGGAGCUCAACUCCAGAACUGCCUUCGAUACUGGAAGACUUGAGUCCGGGAGAGGUGAGUGGAACUGCGAGUGUAGAGGUGAAAUUCGUAGAUAUUCGCAAGAACACCAGUGGCGAAGGCGGCUCACUGGCCCGGUACUGACGCUGAGGUGCGAAAGCGUGGGGAGCAAACAGG